AAUAUAAUUAAGAAAAUAAAUCAUGAACCAAUGGGCCUGGUGUGCGAUAUGGUUGAAGGGGUGUGGUUAACAAAAUACAUGGGGCCUGAGCUCAAGAUGCCAGGAAUCAACCCGGGUCCAUAAUUCUACUACCACCGUCCUCACAACCAUGUCCAAGAAGCAUCGGUCCAACGUAUCGUCGUCUUCCUCAUUCGAUUCAACGCCCUACCUCAAAAACUAACAAAUUCGCUUCCACCACUCCAUCGAAAAAUCAUGAACAACGAGUGAAUCCAUGUAUAAUUUACAUGUCGAAUCGAAAUCGAAACCAGGGUUGAAUCCUCUGUCCUUCCAUGCUCAAGAAUACGCCAGAGAAUUUAGGGAAAACGGAGGUAAUGAAGCUAUCCUCACUAGAAUCUUAUUCCCAUCCCGGAAAUCCGGUCAAAAGCGGAUAACUUUCCUCAUCCACGACCAAAGGAAUCUCAUCUUGCCGUCGUAAUCAAAUCCCCAAACCGGAAUGUUAUGCGAGUAGCAAAGAAGAAUGACGACUUACCGUACAACGCGUUGUCGUUGAAGAAUCGGCUAAACCGAGAGCGAAGAGGGAAAGUGUACUCGUGGCGCAAUGGAGCUUCGAAGAUGGAAAGCAGAAUUGAAGUUGCGGAUUGAAGGAAGAAGAAAAAGGUUCUUUUUUUGAUAACUCUGUUAUACCGGCUUUCUGUUAUGCAGGUUGUAGGGAAAAGUUUUCUGCAGAAUUCUUAGAGUUUUGGUUUAUCGGAUGAGAAAGUGGGGGUGAGACUCGUGUAGGGGAGACCGAAGGUUGGUGAAGAAAUUUUCAGAGGGUGGAGAGCGUGAAGAGAGUGAAGGGUGAGGUUUUGUUAGAGGGUGAAGAAGAGAAGAGGAAUGGUUGAAGAAUUUGUGAAUUGUUGAAUUAUGGUGAAGAUGAUGGUGAGUGAAGUCGUUAGGGUGAGCUUUGGGUUGUGAUGGAGAUGGAAGAAGAAGCUCCCGGGUGAAGAAUCAGUUGUCAGUUAUAUGGAGGUUGUUGAAGUUGUGGAGGUUAUGGUUUAGUUAAGAGUUAGUUAUAUUCAAUGACAAUUUGUGACAGUUGGCGACAGUUAGAAUUGAUUAGGCGGUUAGGACGGUUGAAGACAAUUGGAUUAGUUAUGAAGGUUGUUAUGAAUGAGUUGGAAGUUGUUAUAAGGGUUGAUUAAUCCUUGAAGGGUAUUGAAGCUAGAGGAAGAUUUUUGAAGGUCAAGUGAAGGAGAGAAAACCCAAUUUGGUUAUGUUAUGGGAAGAGGUAGAGUUUUGGUUAGGUGGUUAUUGAGGUUUGUUAGAAAACCCGUUGGAAAUUCUGUUAUCAGCUUUAUAUUUCUAUUAGAAAAUUAGUUACAAACUUCUGCCGUGAAGUUAGCCAACUCUGGUGUGUGUUGUUUUCUCUUAUGCAGGAAGUUUGAAGCAGUGGUUAUUGAAGAAGGUCGGAGGGUUAUGAAAAUUUCAUAUGAUGUUGUUAUAGAAAAAAACGGAUUGGUUAUAGGGAGGUGGAAGUUAGUUCGUGGAAUGAAUGCUUUGGCAACGGAUCUCAUUUAGCCUCUCAAUUCUAUUCCUGUUCUUUAUUUGCUGUUGUUUCUGUUAUGUUUUUUUCUUUUAUUUCUGCAGGUUAUGAGCUCGAAAGAGUGUGUUGUGAAACUCCGUAAGCUGGUUUUUAGUAGGAAUUGAAGUCACAGUUUAUUCAAGGUGAAGCUCUUUGGUUAACAGGGUGGUGAUAUCAUCUUCCUUCAAAAUUAAACUGGCUAUCUUCUUUAGAGCUUUAUCUGCAUCAGUAAACACUUCAUCAUUGCCUAAUGAUGAUGACACGCUCUUCAUGUCUUGUGAUAGCAUCAACGAUUUUAUUGUUAGCUUGUUAGGUAUUUUUGUGAUGAUAUCCAUUUAAUGGUUCCUUGCAUUGGAAUUGGUUUGUCGCACAUGGACUCGGAUUUUGAGUUUUGGAGCUUGAAUUUGAUAUGAAUUGUUGUUGUAAAUUUUGUAACCAAAAUUCAAGUUGUGCUACAACAGGAAAUGAAUGUAAAUGUUAUGUACAUUAUUGGAUCA